AUUGAACGCUGGCGGCAGGCCUAACACAUGCAAGUCGAGCGGAUGAAGGGAGCUUGCUCCUGGAUUCAGCGGCGGACGGGUGAGUAAUGCCUAGGAAUCUGCCUGGUAGUGGGGGAUAACGUCCGGAAACGGGCGCUAAUACCGCCUACGUCCUGAGGGUGAAAGUGGGGGAUGUUCGGACCUCACGCUAUCAGAUGAGCCUAGGUCGGAUUAGCUAGUUGGUGGGGUAAAGGCCUACCAAGGCGACGAUCCGUAACUGGUCUGAGAGGAUGAUCAGUCACACUGGAACUGAGACACGGUCCAGACUCCUACGGGAGGCAGCAGUGGGGAAUAUUGGACAAUGGGCGAAAGCCUGAUCCAGCCAUGCCGCGUGUGUGAAGAAGGUCUUCGGAUUGUAAAGCACUUUAAGUUGGGAGGAAGGGCAGUAAGUUAAUACCUUGCUGUUUUGACGUUACCAACAGAAUAAGCACCGGCUAACUUCGUG
rnacentral:rRNA from 1 species